GAUGAACGCUGGCGGUAUGCUUAACACAUGCAAGUCGAACGGUACCUUCGGGUAUAGUGGCGGACGGGUGAGUAACGCGUGAGAAUCUAUCUUCAGGUCGGGGACAACAGUUAGAAAUGACUGCUAAUACCGGAUGUGCCGAUAGGUAAAAGAUUUAUUGCCUGCAAAAUAGCUCGCGUCAGAUUAGCUAGUAGGUGGUGUAAGAGACUACCUAGGCUUCGAUCUGUAGCUGGUCUGAGAGGACGAUCAGCCACACUGGAACUGAGACACGGUCCAGACUCCGACGGGGGGCAGCAGUGGGGAAUUUUACGCAAGGGGCGAAAGCCUGACGGAGCAAUACCGCGUGAGGGACGAAGGCGCUUGGGUCGUAAACCUCUUCUCGCAAGGAAGAGUCAGACGGUACUUGAGGAAUAAGCAUCGGCUAACUCUGUG
rnacentral:rRNA from 1 species